rnacentral:rRNA from 1 species
UACGUAGGGUGCGAGCGUUAAUCGGAAUUACUGGGCGUAAAGCGUGCGCAGGCGGUUCGUUGUGUCGGCGGUGAAAGCCCCGGGCUUAACCUGGGAAUGGCCGUUGAAACUGGCGAACUGGAGUGUGGCAGAGGGGGUGGAAUUCCGCGUGUAGCAGUGAAAUGCGUAGAGAUGCGGAGGAACACCGAUGGCGAAGGCAGCCCCCUUGGGACCUGAUACUGACGCUCAUGCACGAAAGCGUGGGGAGCAAACAGG